AGCGAACGCUGGCGGCAGGCUUAACACAUGCAAGUCGAACGGGCUUCUUCGGAAGUCAGUGGCAGACGGGUGAGUAACACGUGGGAACGUGCCCUUCGGUUCGGAAUAACUCAGGGAAACUUGAGCUAAUACCGGAUACGCCCUUAUGGGGAAAGGUUUACUGCCGAAGGAUCGGCCCGCGUCUGAUUAGCUUGUUGGUGGGGUAACGGCCUACCAAGGCGACGAUCAGUAGCUGGUCUGAGAGGAUGAUCAGCCACGCUGGGACUGAGACACGGCCCAGACUCCUACGGGAGGCAGCAGUGGGGAAUAUUGGACAAUGGGCGCAAGCCUGAUCCAGCCAUGCCGCGUGAGUGAUGAAGGCCUUAGGGUUGUAAAGCUCUUUUGUCCGGGACGAUAAUGACGGUACCGGAAGAAUAAGCCCCGGCUAACUUCGUG
rnacentral:rRNA from 1 species